rnacentral:tRNA from 18 species
UGGGGUAUCGCCAAGCGGUAAGGCACCGGUUUUUGAUAUCGGCAUUCCCUGGUUCGAAUCCAGGUACCCCAGCCA